UGCAUAUCCAAAAAGCGGAGGAAAAGAAACUAACAAGGAUUCCCCUAGUAACUGCGAGUGAAGCGGGAAAAGCUCAAAUUUAAAAUCUGGUGGUCUUUGGCCAUCCGAGUUGUAAUCUAGAGAAGUGUUAUCCGCGCUGGACCGUGUACAAGUCCCCUGGAAUGGGGCGUCAUAGAGGGUGAGAAUCCCGUCUUUGACACGGACUACCAGGGCUUUGUGAUGCACUCUCAAAGAGUCGAGUUGUUUGGGAAUGCAGCUCAAAAUGGGUGGUAAAUUCCAUCUAAAGCUAAAUAUUGGCGAGAGACCGAUAGCGAACAAGUACCGUGAGGGAAAGAUGAAAAGAACUUUGGAAAGAGAGUUAAACAGUACGUGAAAUUGUUGAAAGGGAAACGCUUGAAGUCAGUCGCGUCUGCCAGGGAUCAACCUUACUUUUGUGAGGCGUACUUCCUGGUUGAUGGGUCAGCAUCAGUUUUGGUCGCUGGAUAAAGGUCAGAGAAAUGUGGCACCUUCGGGUGUGUUAUAGUCUUUGAUCAGAUACAGUGGCUGGGACUGAGGAACUCAGCGCCGCAAGGCUGUCUUAGGAUGCUGGCAAAAUGGCUUUAAUCGACCCGUCUUGAAACACGGACAAAGGAGUCA
rnacentral:rRNA from 1 species